rnacentral:rRNA from 1 species
AGUUAGCCGGAGCUUAUUCUCCCGGUACUGUCAUUAUCAUCCCGGGUAAAAGAGCUUUACAACCCUAAGGCCUUCAUCACUCACGCGGCAUUGCUGGAUCAGGCUUUCGCCCAUUGUCCAAUAUUCCCCA